rnacentral:rRNA from 1 species
AGUGAACGCUGGCGGUAGGCCUAACACAUGCAAGUCGAACGGCAGCACAGUAAGAGCUUGCUCUUACGGGUGGCGAGUGGCGGACGGGUGAGGAAUACAUCGGAAUCUACUUUUUCGUGGGGGAUAACGUAGGGAAACUUACGCUAAUACAGCAUACGACCUACGGGUGAAAGCAGGGGAUCUUCGGACCUUGCGCGAUUGAAUGAGCCGAUGUCGGAUUAGCUAGUUGGCGGGGUAAAGGCCCACCAAGGCGACGAUCCGUAGCUGGUCGGAGAGGAUGAUCGGCCAAACUGGAACUGGAACACGGUCCAGACUCCUACGGGAGGCAGCAGUGGGGAAUAUUGGACAAUGGGCGCAAGCCUGAUCCAGCCAUACCGCGUGGGUGAAGAAGGCCUUCGGGUUGUAAAGCCCUUUUGUUGGGAAAGAAAAGCAGCAGGUUAAUACCCCGCUGUUCUGACGGUACCCAAAGAAUAAGCACCGGCUAACUUCGUG